rnacentral:rRNA from 1 species
UACAGAGGGGGCAAGCGUUGUUCGGAAUUACUGGGCGUAAAGGGCGCGUAGGCGGCCUUCUAAGUCGAACGUGAAAUCCCCCGGCUUAACCUGGGAACUGCGUCUGAUACUGGACGGCUGGAGUUUGGGAGAGGGAUGCGGAAUUCCAGGUGUAGCGGUGAAAUGCGUAGAUAUCUGGAGGAACACCGGUGGCGAAGGCGGGUCUCUGGGCAGUAACUGACGCUGAGGAGCGAAAGCGUGGGGAGCGAACAGG